AUUCUUUUCAGCCCACCUUAAAUCUCACGGUCAAUCCGUUUUUUCUUAUUUUUCAAUCUCUAGAAAAAAAAAAUUAAUCAUCUCAAAGUACAAGUCUUUCCAUUGUCUAUUAUCUCAAAGUUUCAAACAUCGGAUCCAUGGAAUAAAGUUGUUUAGUACAUUGAACAGUUCACUGCAACAUUAAGAUUUUUUCUUAUAAAUCUGAAAUUUAAUCCGCUGAACCCAGAUAUCAAACCGAUGUUCAUCGAUUCAGGUAAUUUUUAUCUCUAUGUACAUCGAUUUACUGGCUUAUUACAACGCUCAUGAAAAGUGAAUUGAAUGAGCUGAAGGAAUUGGAGAAGGAGAUGUUUUAUGAGAUGAAGAAAACAUUGAUGAGGUUUUCUAUGGUCCUGCAAUGCUAACCUAAAAAUCGUCAAAAUUAUACAACAAAAACAAGAAAACCAGUGACUUUACCCCCCUGUACUACAGUGACACUGCGGUUGUUAAACCUAGCUAUAGAUUCAAAUGGAGAAGAAGAAACACCAAUAGUAUCUAUCGAUCUUCUCCCUGGAGAGAUCACAUUGAACAAUAUAUUUACUCGAUUGCCUUCUGAGACAGUCUUACAUUGCAAACUCGUUUGCAAAAGUUGGAGAAAUCUUUUACGUUCGUGCAAGCACUUCCCUUAUAUGCACUUACGACGACAACAGUUGGAUGAUUCUAAGGUAAGUUACAUACUCACAUGUAAUCAUUCCUGCAGAAACGUGGACUACCACCUUUACUAAAGAGAGUAUUCUACUUGUAGUAAUAGUAAAGCAAAUCUUACUAAUAAUAAGCCGUCUAUCUUAGGGUUGAGCACAUUUGUUAAGAUCUUCCAUCCUACUAGUCCGUUUUAUUCUUUUGUUCUUGGUUCAUGCAACGGCUUGAUUAUGUGCCAACCUUUGAUGCAUAACCCCGAAACCCUUUACCUAUCUAAUCCAAUGACAAGAGAAUAUCUGAAUAUUCCGAUAACGAAGGAUUUAGGUGUUUGUGGAUUCGGUUAUGAUACUUCCGCUGGUGUAUACAUAAUUGUACGAGUAGAUCGAUGUUACCGUGAGUGGGUUUAUAAGGUACGUGCGUACACUGUUGGGAGUGGAAUUGGGUGGAGAAUGAAAGAAAACAUUACAUCUCAUUUAAUACAGCGUCCAGGUAUUCCUUCAAAUGGAGCUCUUCACUGGCUUGAUGUCAUUAAAUACAGGAUUUGGGCUUUCGAUUUGGCAGAAGAAGAGUUCAGGUGUAUCCCAUCACCACAACUCCACCGUGCAGCUGGUGAUUAUUUUGAACUCCGGUUAUUGGGGGAGUGUUUAUCUAUGGUUCAUUACAGGAAGAAUUCAACAUCAGUCAUGGACAUAUGGUUACUAGGAGAAAUAACAAUAAGAAAGGAAAGAGGAAUGGUAGUGAUACUGUCAAUGAGAAACUGGAAUACUACCAACUGUUAUCUUGGAAUUGGAACAAAGAGUUUAGUUUAAAAGAAGUUUUAUCAGGUGAGCAUCAUAACGUGUAGCAUAACGUUGUUCCUUAUGCUCUUACAAAGGAUGGUGAACUUCUAUUGUUUUGUAGAACAACAACCAAGAUAUAUCGUUAUACGGUGAAAUCUUCCAUUUCUGACAAGGAAAAUCUUGAUAAUGUUGAUGGUCAUGGUAAAUUGUAUUUGCAUGAUGCGAUACCAUAUAAGAAAAGCUUUGUUUCCCUGAAAGAUCUUGGAGAAGAUGUUAAGAUAUUUGAUCUAGGUAGGUGCAUGUGAAAUAUGGUGUUAUUCAUUCUUCCCAUCUAUGGACUUUUUUU